rnacentral:lncRNA from 1 species
AGCUUAGUAUCAUGCAUUUAAUCAAGUACAGGAAAUAAAAUAACAGUCAGUAGAAUGUGGUGACACCGAUAGAACCAGAAUCAGAGACUAGCCUUUCUUAAUUCAAGUUUAAAGAAUGUUAAUAUAUCUCCUAGAUAUAAGAACAUUCAACUAAGAUUGGAAAAUUUUAUUUAUACAAAACUUUAAACUUUCUUAUUCAUAAAUCAUUUUGUAGAAUAUUUAAUAUGCUACUGUCUGCUGUGAAUAUGAAUAUCUCUGAGUGGAUAUUGACAGAAUAUGUUUAUUAAGUUUGUGACCUUAGAACCCUUUUUCCCACCAUCUAAGAAUCUAUAGGGAGAAUCCAUCAUACAUUCAAAACUUUAAAAAACAGCGCUCUAGCCCAAACUACAGUCUGACAAAUGAUAAACUCUCAAGUUUCUAACUGUAGAAGUAGGUGAAUGAGCAGCUUUCACAAAUAGUUGAAUAACUACUAACAUUUAGUGAUGUCCUAGAAAAAUGCAAGGAAACAGCUUAAUAAUCUCCUGAAUGUUUAAGUUUGCUUUGGGGGCCAGAUAGAACAGCAACAAUUCCUUACAUCCCUAGAGUUUGUAUCACAAGGAUUAAAUAUGAAAUGUUCAAAUAUCAGAUUUUGAAUUAAAAUCAAAGAUACAAGUGAUCUUGAGGGAUACAUGUUGUUUAAGCACAAUUUUAAAGCGUUUUUUUCAUUGUUGUUGUUCA